rnacentral:rRNA from 1 species
UCGAGAAUUUUUCUCAAUGGGCGAAAGCCUGAAGGAGCGACGCCGCGUGGGGGAUGAAGGGCUUCGGCUCGUAAACCCCUGUCAUUUGCGAACAAACCUUUUCAUCUAAUAAGUGAAAAGCUGAUAGUAGCGGAAGAGGAAGGGACGGCUAACUCUGUGCCAGCAGCCGCGGUAAUACAGAGGUCCCAAGCGUUGUUCGGAUUCACUGGGCGUAAAGGGUGCGUAGGUGGUGAGGCAAGUUCGGUGUGAAAUCUCCGGGCUCAACCCGGAAAUGGCAUUGAAAACUGCCCUGCUAGAGGGUUGGAAGGGAGACUGGAAUUCUUGGUGUAGCAGUGAAAUGCGUAGAUAUCAAGAGGAACACCAGUGGCGAAGGCGAGUCUCUGGACAACACCUGACACUGAGGCACGAAAGCUAGGGGAGCAAACAG